GAGGAUGAGAACCUCCGGGGGCAAGAGGUUCGACUCGAGCGCAGCGAGAGAACGUUGCGUCAGCAACGGCCCGCAGGGCGAGCCACGCAGUGGCGAGUCAUCCUCUAUCACCGACCA
rnacentral:sRNA from 3 species